UACGAAGGGGGCUAGCGUUGUUCGGAAUAACUGGGCGUAAAGCGCACGUAGGCGGAUUGUUAAGUCAGAGGUGAAAUCCCGGGGCUCAACCCCGGAACUGCCUUUGAUACUGUCAAUCUUGAGUCCGAGAGAGGUGAGUGGAAUUCCGAGUGUAGAGGUGAAAUUCGUAGAUAUUCGGAGGAACACCAGUGGCGAAGGCGGCUCACUGGCUCGGUACUGACGCUGAGGUGCGAAAGCGUGGGGAGCAAACAGG
rnacentral:rRNA from 1 species